GUUUAUAUAGAUUAAAUAAAAUCUUAAAGCUGUUAACUUUAAAUUGCUUCUUAGGCUAUAAACG
rnacentral:tRNA from 1 species